rnacentral:rRNA from 1 species
CGCGUAGGUGGUCCUUCAAGUCAGAUGUUAAAUUUCUCGGCUUAACUGGGAAUGGUCAUCUGAUACUGCUGGACUUGAGGGUGGUAGAGGGAGGUGGAAUUCCCGGUGUAGUGGUGAAAUGCGUAGAUAUCGGGAGGAACACCAGUGGCGAAAGCGGCCUCCUAGGCCAUUCCUGACACUGAGGCGCGAAAGCGUGGGGAGCGAACAGGAUCAGAUACCCUGGUAGUCCACGCCCUAAACUGUGGAAACUAGGUACAGGGAGUAUCGACCCUUCCUGCGCCGUAGCUAACGCGUUAAGUUUCCCGCCUGGGGACUACGGUCGCAAGACUAAA